rnacentral:rRNA from 1 species
UGGGGAAUAUUGGACAAUGGGCGCAAGCCUGAUCCAGCCAUGCCGCGUGAGUGAUGAAGGCCCUAGGGUUGUAAAGCUCUUUCACCGGUGAAGAUAAUGACGGUAACCGGAGAAGAAGCUCCGGCUAACUUCGUGCCAGCAGCCGCGGUAAUACGAAGGGGGCUAGCGUUGUUCGGAUUUACUGGGCGUAAAGCGCACGUAGGCGGACUUUUAAGUCAGGGGUGAAAUCCCGGGGCUCAACCCCGGAACUGCCGUUGAUACUAGAAGUCUUGAGUAUGGUAGAGGUGGGUGGAAUUCCGAGUGGAGGGGUGAAAUUCGUAGGUAUUCGGGGGAACACCAGUGGCGAAGGCGGCUCACUGGACCAUUACUGACGCUGAGGUGCGAAGGCGUGGGGGGCAAACAGG